AUUGAACGCUGGCGGCAGGCCUAACACAUGCAAGUCGAACGAGUGGCGGACGGGUGAGUAAUGUCUGGGAAUCUAGCUUAUGGAGGGGGAUAACUACUGGAAACUGUAGCUAAUACCGCCUACCAUCGGCUGUGCCCAAGUGGGAUUAGUUAGUUGGUGGGGUAAAGGCUCACCAAGGCGACGAUCCCUAGCUGGUCUGAGAGGAUGACCAGCCAAACUGGGACUGAGACACGGCCCAGACUCCUACGGGAGGCAGCAGUGGGGAAUAUUGCGCAAUGGGGGCAACCCUGACGCAGCCAUGCCGCGUGUAUGAAGAAGGCCUUCGGGUUGUAAAGUACUUUCGGUGGCGAGGCGUUAACUACAGAAGAAGCACCGGCUAACUCCGUGCCAGCAGCCGCGGUAAUAC
rnacentral:rRNA from 1 species